ensembl:snRNA U6 U6 spliceosomal RNA
GUGUAACUUGACAGCACAUCCCAUACACCUGGAACGAUACAGAGAAGAUUAGCAUGGACCUUUUACAAAAUAUGAUUUGAAAUGAUUUGUGUUGUUUUAAUAAGUU